UUGUCCUGAUAACACCUCAGCAAGA
rnacentral:misc_RNA from 1 species